rnacentral:rRNA from 1 species
GAUGAACGCUGGCGGCGUGCCUAAUACAUGCAAGUCGAGCGAACAGACGAGGAGCUUGCUCCUCUGACGUUAGCGGCGGACGGGUGAGUAACACGUGGAUAACCUACCUAUAAGACUGGGAUAACUUCGGGAAACCGGAGCUAAUACCGGAUAAUAUAUUGAACCGCAUGGUUCAAUAGUGAAAGACGGUUUUGCUGUCACUUAUAGAUGGAUCCGCGCCGCAUUAGCUAGUUGGUAAGGUAACGGCUUACCAAGGCAACGAUGCGUAGCCGACCUGAGAGGGUGAUCGGCCACACUGGAACUGAGACACGUUCCAGACUCCUACGGGAGGCAGCAGUAGGGAAUCUUCCGCAAUGGGCGAAAGCUUGACGGAGCAACGCCGCGUGAGUGAUGAAGGUCUUCGGAUCGUAAAACUCUGUUAUUAGGGAAGAACAAAUGUGUAAUUAACUAUGCACGUCUUGACGGUACCUAAUCAGAAAGCCACGGCUAACUACGUG